UGAUUGUUCCCUCACCUGGCCACAAAGUGAUCCACCAGAUCUCUGUACUCAGCCUCUUGUCUUCCUCUGAUACACAACAACUGCAGAGUCGUCUGAGUAUUUCUGUAGAUGACAGAAGUCGGACUUGUGCUGGAGGUCUCAACAGUAGAGGGUGAAAAUGAAUGGUUGUCACAGAUGCAGGUGAUUGUUGAGGCCUCCACCUGUGUCUUCUGGAGUUUCUAACAGAGCAGAUCAGGCUGAAUUGUGUUCAAUGCACCUGGGAACCAAAGACCCUGAUCCUCACUGUGCUGCCUGCUUUGUCCAGAUGACAGUGGGUUUGUUGAAGCAGGUGUCUGAUCAACUCCAACUCCACGGCGAUAAGCAAACUGCAGGGGGUCCUGAUAUGUGAUCGUCUGCUUACUCAAGUGGGCCACCAGGAAUCUCUCCAGGACCUUCAUGAUGUGGGACGUCAGGGCAACAGGUCUACAGUCAUUAUGACUGAUGGGUGACUUUUCUUCGGUACCGGAACCAGACAGGAUGUCUUCCACAACAACGGAACCUCCUCUUGGGUCAGGCAAAGGUUGAAGAGAUGCUGCAGAAUCCCACAGAGGGAAUCUGGGACUGACAGCAUCUGGACCUGCAGCCUCGUUCCUGUUCAGUUUCUCCGGCUGCUUCUUCACCUGACUUCUAGAUACAGAAAAGUUGGAGGUGGAGGCAAAGGGAGCAGCAGCGUCUCCUGAUGUGGUUAAAGACAAACUUGUGGAAGCAGAAGAGUCCAUGACUGAGGUGGAAGAUGGAACAUCUGAGGUUUGACAGGAAAGCUGUGGGUCAGAGGAGGAUGAGAAAUCUGUUUGGCUGCAGACAGGAGAGGAAGAUGAUGAGCUUGUUCCUGGACUGAACCUGUUGAAGAAUGUGUUCAGCUCAUUUCCUCUGUCCAGAAACUAAUAUUGUUAAAGAAAAGUCAUGGUAGCAUGUUUUUAUGUAAUAAUGUGUAUGUAAUGUGUGGAAUGAAGAAGAUAUGCUGCAUAAUCUGAUGGAAUUACAGAAAAUCAUUGUGGCUCCUGCUCAGUGCAAAAACACACAUUUUGUUGGUUUCUGAAGAGUAAAAAUUGAACAAAUGUGUACAUUUAAAGAUUAAAUUUAUAUUUCACAGUCAUCACAAUGCUAAAGAAAAGUCUCACAACAGGGUGAAAAUCAUGGUGUUUAUUUACAAGACAGGAAGCAGGAGGAAGAUAUUAAAGAAUGUAAAAUAUUUUGCAGUGUCAGGUUAUUUCUAUGUAUUAUGAUGUAAUAUAAUACAUGUAUUUUUGGACUUAUUGUAUUCUGUUUUAUUUUUGUGUGUAACUUUCACUUGAUUUGUGAAAGCAUGAGGAAGAUAUUAAAUUUUUUGUAUAUA